GGACACGUAUGCAGUGAAGCAAAAUUACACUUUGGUACAACAAUUUAUUGGAAUAUUUUUGCAUCAUUAUUUUUUUUUUUUUUUUUUGCCCGGUCCAUUUUUUGCAACAACGGUUUAACGAAGGUGGCAAUAGAUUCAAUGUCAGCAAAAGUAAAAUGAUCUUUUUUAUAUAAUCAAGAGCGGUAUACAAAUUUUAUUUUUAAAUUAAGAUACUCUAUGAAAAAUUCUCAAACUUACAUAUUUUUUCCUAAAAUUUAUCCUUUAAUUAAUUCUUAAUAUUACCAAAGUAUUGCUGUAUAUUGCAAAUAAAAUGCCGAGAUGGAAAUUUUGAUUUAUUACCUGACAUCAAGAUCGUAUUUUCUUUGUUUUUCUUGGAAAGUGACGACACCUUACGAGUGUCGUCAAUAUGUCAACACUAUGACAACCCAAUGAUCUGUCAACAGCCUUUAUAUAAAGGGGAUCAGGAAAGACCGAAGCAGAACGUCCACCGCAAGUAACUAAACGGAUUAUGUGUCGAGAGAGAGAGAGAGAGAACUCAAAGUUCCUUCUCCACGACCAUGGCCAGCGUUGUUUGCACAGAUGAAAGAGGUAGAUCGCAAAGGAGUGCUACCGGAGAACACAGAAUCAAGUGCCAAACCGAGACUUGCCACUUCGUCUGUGUUCUCAGGUCACCCCUUUGUGUCACCUGGUUCUACCAACUACCCUUCUUCUCCUUGUUGCAUUGUGGCAUUGUCUUCCGUAAUUAGAUCACGGGUCAUGAAAGGCUGCUUCAGUUUGAAACCUUUCUCUGGUACGUGAUGCUUGUUUAAACUGACUUGACCUUUCUUAUUCUGCAUCUUCCAUGGUCUCGUGCAGGGACAGGGCUCUUUUGGGUGGGCAAUGUUGGAACAAGCAUGGGCUCUCAGGAGCAAAAUUUUGACCUCUCGUAAGUGGAAUUUGCAUACAUCGUCAUGCUUGCACAAUCAACAGAUGCCAUAUGGAAGCCUCUCACAAAUCCAUGACAUCAGUAGCUCCAAAUAGAGAUUGCAUCAACACUGCGAGCUUGGAAGAAUAACUCUAGCGGAAGGUAAAUCUGUGACAAAUUGUAGAUGAUAAGAAAAGGUAAGAGUAUGUUAGAAUCAUGUCCCUAUAUGUUCAAGAGAAGAAACUUUGGGGAUGCCCACAGAGAAUCUUGCAUGUCAAUGUGGCCUUGCAGUAUACACAAAUUUUAGCAACAAAAAGGUAUGAUUAAAAGUGAGAAAAUUAUAUGACAAGGCAAAAGCAAGAUAUCUCAGGGUAUCUUUAUAUACCUUGUGCAAACACUGAUGUGUAAUUAUCUACAACCCAAGCACAAUGACAACAGCUUCUUAUGGGUGCAA